UUACAUAAUUCUUACUCAACUUAUACAUGCAAGCAUCAACAUACCAGUGAAAACCCCUAUAGUUCUUUCCUCAAAACUUUAAGGCCGGCAUCAGGCACAACAAAUAGCCCAAGACACCUAGCACCGCCACCCCCACAAGGGCCCGCAGCAGUAAUUAAUAUUAAAUAUUAGCGCAAGCUUGAUUCAGUCAUAGUAAUUUUGGGCCGGCCAAUUCUGUGCCAGCCGCCGCGGUUAGACCGUUCAUGGCCCAAAUUGAUACUCAUCGGCGUAAAGAGUGAUUAAAGCUUCUACCAUACUAGAAUAAAACCUAAACUAAAAUGUGAUAAUUUUGUUUUCGAGAAACUCAAACACGAAAGUUAUUCUACUACCCUUGAGCUCACGACAACUAGGACACAAACUGGGAUUCGGUACCCCCCUAUGCCUAGUCAUAAACUUUAAUUUACACAGAAAACCGCCAGGGAACUACGAGUUAAACUUAAAACCCAAAGGACUUGACGGUACCCCAAAUCCACCUAGAGGAGCCUGUCCCGGAAUUGAUAACCCGCGUAAACCUUACCAAUCCUAGCUCACAGCUUGUAUACUUCCGUCGCAAGUCUACCACAUGAGUGAAAAACAGCAGACUCAAUGUUCUUUAACAAUACGUCAGGUCAAAGUGCAGCAAACGGACUGGGGAGGAUUGGCUACACUUUCUAAUCUAGAAAAUACGAAAGACUCCAUGAAACAAAGUCAGAAGGCGGAUUUAGUAGUAAAAAGAAAACAGAAUGUUCUUUUUAAUGUGGCCCCGGAGUGCGUACACACCGCCCGUCACCCCCCUCAAAAUUUAAAUAAAAGUACUUAACACCCAUAUCAAAAAAGAGGGGGCAAGUCGUAACAUGGUAAUAUACCG
rnacentral:ncRNA from 1 species